rnacentral:rRNA from 1 species
CACGCCGUAAACUAAUGCGCGUUAGGUGUAUCGGUGACCACGAGUUACCGAGGUGCCGAAGGGAAACCGUGAAACGUGCCGCCUGGGAAGUACGGUCGCAAGGCUGAAACUUAAAGGAAUUGGCGGGGGAGCACCACAACAGGUGGAGCCUGCGGUUUAAUUGGACUCAACGCCGGGAAGCUCACCGGAUAGGACAGCAGAAUGAUUGCCGGGCUGAAGACCCUGCAUGACUAGCUGAGAGGUGGUGCAUGGCGUCAGUGACU